rnacentral:rRNA from 1 species
CGGGGGACAGGGUGACAGGUGGUGCAUGGUUGUCGUCAGCUCGUGUCGUGAGAUGUUGGGUUAAGUCCCGCAACGAGCGCAACCCUCGCCUCUAGUUGCCAGCAUUCGGUUGGGCACUCUAGAGGGACUGCCGGCGACAAGUCGGAGGAAGUGGGAUGACGUCAAUCAUCAUGCCCCUUAUGACCUGGGCUACACACGUGCUACAAUGGGCGGUACAAAGGGCUGCGAACCCGCGAGGGGGAGCGAAUCCCAAAAAGCCGCUCUCAGUUCGGAUUGCAGGCUGCAACUCGCCUGCAUGAAGCCGGAAUCGCUAGUAAUCGCGGAUCAGCAUGCCGCGGUGAAUACGUUCCCGGGCCUU